rnacentral:rRNA from 1 species
CAGCGUUUGACAUGGGACGUAUGGUUACCAGAGAUGGUUUCCUUCACUUCGGGUGGCGUCCACACAGGUGCUGCAUGGCUGUCGUCAGCUCGUGUCGUGAGAUGUUGGGUUAAGUCCCGCAACGAGCGCAACCCUCACCUUCAGUUGCCAUCAUUUAGUUGGGCACUCUGACGAAACUGCCGGUGACAAGCCGGAGGAAGGCGGGGAUGACGUCAAGUCCUCAUGGCCCUUAUGGGCUGGGCUACACACGUGCUACAAUGGCGGUGACAGUGGGGUGCAAAGCCGCGAGGUGGAGCAAAUCCCAAAAAGCCGUCUCAGUUCAGAUUGCACUCUGCAACUCGAGUGCAUGAAGGUGGAAUCGCUAGUAAUCGCGGAUCAGCAUGCCGCGGUGAAUACGUUCCC